CUCCUACAGCUCCUACUGCUACAACAACAUACCAAACACAUCAGUGUUCACUGGGGGAGAAUGAAGAGAAUGAGCAGCUCUUCAGGAUACCACAAGCAGGUCUGCUGUGUGAUGGAUGCUGACGAGCAGCAGACAGACAUCCGUCUGGAAGGAAACAUCACUGCAUCCUCCGCUGGGCCUCCCUUUCCCACCUACUGACCGAUCAAUACUGAAGGCAGCUAAAGUGGAGCGCACAGAGCUGGAGCAACCUCUCAUGAACAGAUGGUGGCCAUAUAUUUCCAUCGAAGUGCGCUUGGCAGUGUGCUGACAGACUAAUCCAUCUUAGCGGGCAGAAGGAUGCUGCACUGUUCA